CUUGGCGACCAUAGCGUUUUGGACCCACCUGAACCCAUUCCGAACUCAGAAGUGAAACGAAAUAGCGUCGAUGGUAGUGUGGGGUAUCGUUGCGCCCAGAGAAGCACAGUCAUUGGUGAACCUCGGUUAUCACCUGGA
rnacentral:rRNA from 1 species